rnacentral:rRNA from 1 species
GGCAAAAUGAGAGUCCAACUGUCUCUUAUAACAAAUCAAUUAAACUGAUCUCCUAGUACAAAAGCUAGAAUCUCCCCAUAAGACCAGAAGACCCUGUGAAGCUUUAAUUAACUUAUUAAACCCCAUAAUAACUAGUUUCGGUUGGGGCGACCUUGGAACAAAAAAGAACUUCCAAAAAAUAACUUAUUCAUAUAUAAGGCAAACAAGCCAUAAUUAGACCCAGUAUACCUGACAAAUGAACCAAGUUACUCCAGGGAUAACAGCGCUAUCUUCUUCAAGAGCCCAUAUCAAAAAGAAGGUUUACGACCUCGAUGUUGGAUCAGGACAUCCUAGUUAUGCAACCGUUUCUAAGGGUUCGUUUGUUCAACGAUUAACAGUCCUACGUGA